rnacentral:rRNA from 1 species
GCCUACGGGGCGCAGCAGUGAGGAAUAUUGGUCAAUGGGCGCAAGCCUGAACCAGCCAAGUCGCGUGAGGGAUGACGGUCCUAUGGAUUGUAAACCUCUUUUGUCGGGGAGCAAGGCCCGCCACGUGUGGCGGGAAGGAGAGUACCCGAAGAAAAAGCAUCGGCUAACUCCGUGCCAGCAGCCGCGGUAAUACGGAGGAUGCGAGCGUUAUCCGGAUUUAUUGGGUUUAAAGGGUGCGUAGGCGGGAGGUUAAG